UCACAUCCGAGGCCUUGUAAUUGGAAUGAGUACACUUUAAAUCCUUUAACAAGGAUCAAUUGGAGGGCAAGUCUGGUGCCAGCAGCCGCGGUAAUUCCAGCUCCAAUAGCGUAUAUUAAAGUUGUUGCGGUUAAAACGUUCGUAGUUGAACUUGUGUCUCACACGGGCAGUUACCAAGGUUAAGUUUACUUUUCCGGUAUCUUGUCUUAUCUUCACUAGUUUUCGGACUUGUGAAAAGUGCGUAGACGUAUUAUCGGCGUGUUCGCUCCCGUAGCGUUCACAUCAGCUCAUUUCGUUGAUCUUAACCGAUUGAUGUUGUGAGCCGAUACUAAUUACUUUGAACAAAUUAGAGUGCUUCAAGCAGGCUUCAAUGCCUAAAUAUUCUGUGCAUGGAAUAAUGAAAUAGGACAUCUGUUCUACUUUCAUUGGUUUUUUAGACCAAGAUGUAAUGAUUAAUGGAAGCAGUUGGGGGCAUUAGUAUUACAACGCGAGAGGUGAAAUUCUUAGACCGUUGUAAGACUGACUAAAGCGAAAGCAUUUGCCAAAGAUGUUUUCAUUUAAUCAAGAACGAAAGUUAGAGGUUCGAAGGCGAUCAGAUACCGCCCUAGUUCUAACCAUAAACGAUGCCAGCUAGCAAUUGAGUGUAGCUACUACUAUGGCUCUUUCAGUCGCUUCUCGGGAAACCAAAGCUUUUGGGCUCCGGGGGAAGUAUGGUUGCAAAGCUGAAACUUAAAGGAAUUGACGGAAGGGCACCACCAGGAGUGGAGCCUGCGGCUUAAUUUGACUCAACACGGGAAAACUUACCAGGUCCGAACAUAAAUGAGUAAGACAGAUU
rnacentral:rRNA from 1 species